GAUGAAGAACGUAGCGAAAUGCGAUAAGUAAUGUGAAUUGCAGAAUUCAGUGAAUCAUCGAAUCUUUGAACGCACAUUGCGCCCUCUGGUAUUCCGGAGGGCAUGCCUGUUCGAGCGUCAUUUCGACCCUCAAGCAUUGCUUGGUGUUGGGGCACCGCCUGUAAAAGGGCGGGCCUGAAAUCUAGUGGCGAGCUCGCCAGGACCCCGAGCGUAGUAAUUAUAUUUCGUUCUGGAAGGCCCUGGCGGUGCCCUGCCGUUAAACCCCCAACUUCUGAAAAUUUGACCUCGGAUCAGGUAGGAAUACCCGCUGAACUUAAGCAUAUCAAUAAGCGGAGGA
rnacentral:misc_RNA from 1 species